GGAAGAAAAGCUCAGUUGGGAAGAUCUGAGCUUGAUUUACCUUCAAUGUCAUCUAAAAGGUCGUAGGUUCGAAUCUUGCUUCCUUCA